GUGUGGCUUUAGGACCCAGCGGAUCCCCCAUGUUGGAGGUAGGAGGUUUUUUUUGGGUUUUUUGUGGUUUUUUUUAACUCUCAUUUCCAGAGUUUUUGGAAAGCAGAGAGAAGAGACCGAGGCGGUGGGAAAGGGCAGAGCCGUCACCAACUGAUGUGGAGUUGCAAAAACAUCUGGCGCGGUUGGAGCCGCCGGACCCCUGCACGGAGUGUUGGGAAAGAGGGAAUCUCGGGUCCCAUCCUGGAAAAGGCAAAGACUCCUCCGGCUGCUCCUCCGUCAUUCCAGCAGGAUGAGAGGGACGGGGCUCUUCGUGCUGUGCCUGC